UGUGGGAGCGAGCCUGCUCGCGAUGGCUUUGGGUCAGCUUGCGGCGAUGUUGACCUUACCGCCGUCAUCGCGAGCAGGCUCGCUCCCACA
rnacentral:misc_RNA from 1 species